rnacentral:rRNA from 1 species
GAUUGCGAAGGCGCUUACUAAGCCAUAACUGACACUGAAGCACGAAAGCGUGGGGAUCAAACAGGAUUAGAUCCCUGGUAGUCCACGCAGUAAACGAUGAUUACUAGGAGUUUGCGAUAGACAGUAAGCUCUCAGCGAAAGCGUUAAGUAAUCCACCUGGGGAGUACGCCGGCAACGGUGAAACUCAAAGGAUUGACGGGGGCCCGCACAAGCGGAGGAACAUGUGGUUUAAUUCGAUGAUACGCGAGGAACUUACCCGGGUUUGAACGUAGUUUGACAGGGGUGGAAACACCUUUUCUAGCAAUAGCAAAUACGAGGUGCUGCAUGGUUGUCGUCAGCUCGUGCCGUGAGGUGUCGGCUUAAGUGCCAUAAGAGCGCAACCCUUAUCACUAGUUACUAACAGGUCAAGCUGAGGACUCUGGUGAGACUGCCGCGUAAGCUGUGAGGAAGGUGGGGAUGACGUCAAAUCAGCACGGCCCUUACAUCCGGGGCACACACGUGUUACAAUGGCGUGGACAAAGGGCAGCUACCGGGCGACCGGAUGCAAAUCCCAAACCACGUCUCAGUUCGGAUUGGAGUCUGCAACUCGACUCCAUGAAGCUGGAUUCGCUAUAAUCGCGCAUCAGCCAUGGCGCGGUGAAUACGUUCCCGGGCCUUGUACACACCGCCCGU